AUGACUUCCAGGCAAUUCCACUACCAGAACAUACGAGCUGUUACACCACCUGAUCAAGCUUGCCUUAUUGGCAUGGCAAUGGGGAAAAUUGUCUUCAAGGGAAGAGCCAAAUGCAAAGUACCAAAAUCGUCUCAUGCACAUUCUUGUUUGCACUUUACAAUGCAAAAUUCAGAGGUGAUCUUGUUUGCACUUUACAAUGCAAAAUUCAGAGGUGAUCUUACAUCCAUCCAAAAAAAAGUUUACCAUAAAUUCCAGGAAAUUCCACCACCAGAACUGUUACACCACCUGAUCAAGGUUGCCUUAGUGGCAUGGCAAUUGGCAAAUUGCCUUCUAUGUAAACAACACUUUCACUUGCCUACUCUGGUGAGCUGGUCAUAG
rnacentral:rRNA from 1 species